UACGGAAGGCAGCAGUGGGGAAUAUUGCACAAUGGGCGCAAGCCUGAUGCAGCCAUGCCGCGUGUAUGAAAAAGGCCUUCGGGUUGUAAAGUACUUUCAGUCGUGAGGAAGGUGUUAAGGUUAAUAACCUUAGCAAUUGACGUUAGCGACAGAAGAAGCACCGGCUAACUCCGUGCCAGCAGCCGCGGUAAUACGGAGGGUGCGAGCGUUAAUCGGAAUUACUGGGCGUAAAGGGCACGCAGGCGGUUAAUUAAGUUGGAUGUGAAAUCCCCGGGCUUAACCUGGGAAUGGCAUUCAAGACUGGUUAGCUAGAGUCUUGUAGAGGGGGUAGAAUUCCGAUGUGUAGCGGUGAAAUGCGUAGAGAUGUGGAGGAAUACCGGUGGCGAAGGCGGCCCCUGGACAAAGACUGACGCUCAUGUGCGAAAGCGUGGGGAGCAAACGAGGGAUUAGAUACC
rnacentral:rRNA from 1 species